GGGAUAAGAAAGCAGAUCGCAUGAUCAGCUUUUAAAAAGGGCGGCGUAAAGCUGUCGCUAUGGGGAUGGCCCCGCGGUGCAUUAGCUAGUUGGUAAGGUAAAGGGCUUACCAAGGCGAUGAUGCAUAGCCCCGAGUUGAGAGACUGAUCGGGCCACAUUGGGGACUGAGACACGGGCCCAAAACUCCUACGGGGAGGCAGCAGUAGGGAAUCUUCCACAAUGGACGCAAGUCUGAUGGAGCAACGCCGCGUGAGUGAAGUAAGGUUUUCGGAUACGUAAAGCUCUGUUGUUGGUGAAGAAGGAUAGAGGUAGUAACUGGUCCUUUAUUUGACGGUAAUCAACCAGAAGUCACGGCUAACUACGUGCCAGCAGCCGCGGUAAU
rnacentral:rRNA from 1 species